rnacentral:rRNA from 1 species
UACGGGGGGGGCAAGCGUUGUUCGGAAUUACUGGGCGUAAAGGGCUUGUAGGUGGCCAACUAAGUCGGACGUGAAAUCCCUCGGCUUAACCGGGGAACUGCAUCCGAUACUGGAUGGCUUGAGUUCGGGAGAGGGAUGCGGAAUUCCAGGUGUAGCGGUGAAAUGCGUAGAUAUCUGGAGGAACACCGGUGGCGAAGGCGGCAUCCUGGACCGACACUGACGCUGAGGAGCGAAAGCCAGGGGAGCAAACGGG